UCGUGUACAGCAUCAGUACUUUGUCUGGAUCUGUCUUCAUGGAAGUGAAAUGGAGCUUCCUGAUCAUGGUGGCAAAAGAAUCGGGCAAGGCUGGAA
rnacentral:SRP_RNA from 10 species